rnacentral:siRNA from 1 species
AACGUGGGUUCGCUUCUGCUUACG